GGAUGAAUAUAGUGAACAUGAGUAUCUAUUCCACCAGCUGUUAAAAUUCUUCCUUCACCUGCUAAGGCUUCAGUUCCAACACCAACUACAAAGUCAACAUUAUCCAUUGUAUCUGGGUUACCGCCUUUACCUAUAGCAAAUAUUUUACCAUCUUUAAUUCCUACAUCAGCCUUAUAUAUUCCUGUAUAAUCUACUAUAGUAGCUCCUGUUAUAAUUAAAUCAACAACUUCUGGAUUUUUACUAGUUUGUGUGGCAUUUUGGCCCAUACCAUCUCU
rnacentral:sRNA from 1 species